rnacentral:lncRNA from 1 species
CCACCUAUAACUACACACACACAGACCACGAACCACCAUCCUUGCACAACAGAAGACAUCUCCCUCGACCAAGUAGCCUUACCCACAUAACUAAACCUAACCCCGCCACAAGUCACCCAUUGCCUAUACUUAUACCUAUACAACAAUGCAUCCCACUCUCACAUUUACCUCACUUCUCGGUUACACACAAACUCCUCAUCCAUAGGCUCCGUCCCCGUCCACAC